rnacentral:rRNA from 1 species
ACGCUGGCGGCAGGCUUAACACAUGCAAGUCGAACGGUAACAGGAGAAAGCUUGCUUUCUUGCUGACGAGUGGCGGACGGGUGAGUAAUGCUUGGGAAUCUGGCUUAUGGAGGGGGAUAACUACGGGAAACUGUAGCUAAUACCGCGUAAUAUCUUCAGAUUAAAGGGUGGGACUUUCGAGCCACCUGCCAUAAGAUGAGCCCAAGUGGGAUUAGGUAGUUGGUUAGGUAAAGGCUGACCAAGCCGACGAUCUCUAGCUGGUCUGAGAGGAUGACCAGCCACACUGGAACUGAGACACGGUCCAGACUCCUACGGGAGGCAGCAGUGGGGAAUAUUGCACAAUGGGGGGAACCCUGAUGCAGCCAUGCCGCGUGAAUGAAGAAGGCCUUCGGGUUGUAAAGUUCUUUCGGUGACGAGGAAGGUUGGUAGGUUAAUAGCCUAUCAAAUUGACGUUAAUCACAGAAGAAGCACCGGCUAACUCCGUGCCAGCAGCCGCGGUAAUACGGGGGGUGCGAGCGUUAAUCGGAAUAACUGGGCGUAAAGGGCACGCAGGCGGUGACUUAAGUGAGAUGUGAAAGCCCCGAGCUUAACUUGGGAAUUGCAUUUCAUAUUGGGUCGCUAGAGUACUUUAGGGAGGGGUAGAAUUCCACGUGUAGCGGUGAAAUGCGUAGAGAUGUGGAGGAAUACCGAAGGCGAAGGCAGCCCCUUGGGAAUGUACUGACGCUCAUGUGCGAAAGCGUGGGGAGCAAACAGGAUUAGAUACCCUGGUAGUCCACGCUGUAAACGAUGUCGAUUUGGGGAUUGGGCUUUGAGCUUGGUGCCCGUAGCUAACGUGAUAAAUCGACCGCCUGGGGAGUACGGCCGCAAGGUUAAAACUCAAAUGAAUUGACGGGGGCCCGCACAAGCGGUGG